UAACUACUCCCUUCGUCCGGAAAUACUUGUCAAUAAAAUGAAUAAAAGAGGAUGUAUCUAGACAUAUUUUAGUUCUAGAUACAUCCAUUUCUAUCCAUUUUGAUGACAAGUAUUUUCGGACGGAGGGAGUACACA
rnacentral:pre_miRNA from 1 species